rnacentral:rRNA from 1 species
UACGUAGGCAGCGAGCGUUGUUCGGAAUUACUGGGCGUAAAGGGUGCGUAGGCGGUCGGGUAAGUCUGAUGUGAAAUCUCACAGCUUAACUGUGAAACUGCAUUGGAUACUAUCCGGCUCGAGGAAUGGAGGGGAGACUGGAAUACUUGGUGUAGCAGUGAAAUGCGUAGAUAUCAAGUGGAACACCAGUGGCGAAGGCGAGUCUCUGGACAUUUCCUGACGCUGAGGCACGAAAGCCAGGGGAGCAAACGGG